AUCUUCAUAUAUUAUUUUCGUUUGUGCAUAAUGGAGCUCUUUUUAACAGGUGAUUGAUGUGAACAAGGAAUGCUGAGGCUCCUCAAGUGAAGAGCUGCUGUGGGAAGUAGGCUGUGAAAGGGAGUAGCCAUCCUUUUACUCUGCUAAUUAACGUACAUGAUUCUACAGAAUACAUCCAUGGAAUUCCACUUGUUCAAAUCAAACUGAUCAGCUUUUGGAAAAGGAUUAAAGGUCAUUCCCAAUGGAAGAAUAAGUGUAAGCCAGAAUUGCUGUGGGGAUUCAGGUCACCCUUGCAUGAAAAGAAGAUGCCUAACUAACUGUAAGACAAUAGAUUGGUCAACGUGAAAGUUUGAAAUGUGGGGAUUGGUCUGAGAAAAUCCCA
rnacentral:lncRNA from 12 species